AACGUACGCUGGCGGCACGCCUAACACAUGCAAGUCGAACGCAGUAGCAAUACUGAGUGGCAGACGGGUGAGUAACAUGUGGGAAUCUGCCUUGUGGUUCAGGACAACAUUGGGAAACCGAUGCUAAUACUGGAUAAGCCCUUACGGGGAAAGUUUUAAUGCCAUAAGAUGAGCCCGCAUUUGAUUAGUUAGUUGGUGAGGUAAUGGCUCACCAAGACAAUGAUCAAUAGCUGAUCUGAGAGGAUGAUCAGCCACACUGGGACUGAGACACGGCCCAGACUCCUACGGGAGGCAGCAGUGGGGAAUCUUGCACAAUGGAGGAAACUCUGAUGCAGCGAUGCCGCGUGAGUGAAGAAGGCCUUUGGGGUUGUAAAAGCUCUUUUGUAGGGGAAGAUAAUGACUGUACCCUAAGAAUAAGGUCCGGCUAACUUCGUG
rnacentral:rRNA from 1 species